rnacentral:rRNA from 1 species
AUUGAACGCUGGCGGCAUGCUUUACACAUGCAAGUCGAACGGUAACAGGGAGCUUGCUCCGCUGACGAGUGGCGAACGGGUGAGUAAUGCGUCGGAACGUGCCGAGUAGUGGGGGAUAACGCAUCGAAAGGUGUGCUAAUACCGCAUACGAACUGAGGUUGAAAGUGGGGGACCUUCGGGCCUCACGCUAUUCGAGCGGCCGACGUCUGAUUAGCUAGUUGGUGAGGUAAAGGCUCACCAAGGCGACGAUCAGUAGCGGGUCUGAGAGGAUGAUCGGACACACUGGGACUGGGACACGGUCCAGAUUCCUACGGGAGGCCGCAGUGGGGAAUCUUGGACAAUGAGCGAAAGCCUGAUCCAGCAAUGCCGCGUGCGUGAAGAAGGCCUUCGGGUUGUAAAGCGCUUUUGUCUGGGAGCAAAUCCUGGCCUCUAAUACAGGUCGGGGAUGAGAGUACCAGAAGAAUAAGGACCGGCUAACUACGUGCCAGCAGCCGCCGUAACAC